GAAACAUGGCUGCAGAUGCUGUAAAUAUUUAUAUUUUGGGGGCAUUUGGGUAUUUGAGUUUUGGGCAUGUCGUGCUGUCUCUGUUUGCCAUCUGUUCAUUUAUAUAUAAACUAUAAUCACUUGACUGGUUUGGGACUGAGUUGCUGAUCAUCAGAAAUGCAGUUCUGUGAGAGUAACGGGAAAUGAUUGAGCCUUACACAAACCCAAACACGUAACUGCAGGGGUGAAUGGCAGGAUGGGGUUGUGGAUCAGCUCUGGGUCUCUUGUUAAUAACAAAGUGUUUCCUUUUGUCUCUGGAUUUCUUAAAAGGAAAACAAAACAUCAAGGCUUUGGGAGAGGCAACACUUUUUUUUUACUAAUGAAAGACCCAGAGAUAGUCCACAGUCCCGUCUCUCAUUAAAAAAAAAAAAAGUGUCCCAGUUCCCUUGAUGUUUGGUUUUUCUUUAAAAAAUCCAGAGAUGCUAUCAGUGCCGUGAUGAAUUAAUAAUGAAUUAAUAAAUCCUUCUUCACUUCAGGCAUUCACUCUUCUUUAAUGUUACACGGUUUAGUAACACGGAGGCCAGGCUGGUAGUUAAUGAUCUCUUUCUGUCUUGUCAUUUUUUUGUUUUAGUUUUUUCCCUUUCAGAGCAGGAGGGAUUUUUCUUCUAUUUCUACAUAAUUUCCUUUUUGUGUUUGUUCUUUCCUCUAUACAGGACCUUUUUGGAGUUUGUGUGUGUGUGUGUCUGUCCGUGUCUGUAUGGGUGUGUAUGUGUGCAUGUCUGUCAGUGUGUGUGUGUGUGUGUGUGUGUGUGUAUGUGUGCAUAUAGUGGGCGCUGGACUCAUUUUUUUUUCUUUUACAUUUUAGUAUUUCUUUUUGUUUAGUUUUUUUUUGGAGUUAUGGUGUUAUUGCAAACAUCAAGCAAACCUCUCCAAUAAUGUCCUUUUUAUCAUAAAAAAGCAUAAUUUCCCCCAAAAAAGAUGUUACAGGAUGAUUGUCAUCAUGGCACUGUGACACGCAACUGGCCCGCAUACAGUGGGGAAAAUAAGUAUUUGAACCCCUGCCGAUUUUGCAAGUUUGGCCACUUGCAAAGAAAUGUGUGAUCUAUAAUUGUAAUGGUAGGUGUAUUUUCCCCACUGUAUGUAUAAAAACAGUUUGAAUACUAGCUCCUUAAAGUGUU
ensembl:lncRNA